rnacentral:lncRNA from 1 species
GCUCCUGGGGGGCUGCGCUGCUGCGGGAGGGGUGCGGGUGCGGGUGCAAAGGGCAGGGAGGGAGGGGGGACGCGGUGAUGCGAUGGGUUCCCAGGGAUGUGCCGCACGGGUUGGCUGCGUUCAAAGGCUGCCCAGAGCACCUCUUUAAAAUAAAUCGGAGGGAAAAGGCAGCCUGGUGCUCCUGCACGUGGGAUAGGAGGGAGCUUUGGGCGUCAGAGCCUUUUCGCCGCAUAUUUAGCCAUGAAAAUCCUCCAUUCUCCACCCUUUGCUGGCACACGCACGGGCUGGGCCCAUGCAGCCAGCCCUCAGCGCACAGCACCCACCCGCUGGGGCAUUCCCAGGGAGGUCACUGCCAGGCUCGCAGCCCGACCCUCCUUUGCUGGGAUGGGGAGAAAUCAAACCCCCCUUUCCUGAGCUGAGGGCCACCAGCAGGUAGCCAGGGCCAGAUUUAAGCUGUGCCCGCACCGAAGCGGCAAAAGGCAACGGCACAGAUGUGCAGCCCCCCAAGCAGGCACAUCAGGCUGCGGGAGAAAUGAGGCCACGAGCAACCAGCAGAUGGCUGGAGACCACAGGAAAGCACCGCUGCUGCUCUGCAGGUUUCCCUAGCACCUCCUUUAUCCAGAGACGUUCGGUUCCUCCUCCUUGCUACUGCACAGGGAGCUGUGGCUCCGGUUCGGGGACGGGAAGUGGAUGCUUUGCACCACCUCAUGUUGAACGUUGGAAUUUCACAGCCUCAUCCAAAUUUCUGCUCUCUCCCAUGCUGAGCAAACCGCAGGCCUCACCGGCUUGCCCCAGAACAGGCUCUUCUGGCUCCACAUCCACUUGCCCAACGCCUCUUCAGGAACUGGUGACGGUGUUGGGUGCUUCUUUAAGGCUUCAUUGUUCAGCAUCCUCCUGCAGAAGCACCCGCAGCAGGGCUGAGCUGUCCCCGCAGCACGCGAAACGCUGCUGGAGAGCACGGCGAACCGGUGAGCAGCCCCAUCCUUCUGCCUCUCCUGCGAGCCCAGGAGGGGAAGCUCUCACCUGGAGAGAGUUUGGAGUCAUGGUUUGAUAGGCAAGGAACGUCUCACUGGGUUUUAAGCCAUCUUCUGAGCAUCUCCAAUUUUUGAGGGGUGCGUUUGUGUCCUCACACCGCCCCAUGGAGCUCUGCGGAGAGUCCUCCUCUCUCCUGUCCAGGAAGGGCUCUGCAGGAGGAAGGUGAGGUGUUGCAGGGGAGACCCCAGGCUGUUCUCCCAGCAAGAGGGCUGGACUCGUCCCCAGGUCUGCUUCCUUCUCCUCCUCCCCCGAUUCAGCCACCCUCCCUCGCUCCCCAAAGGAUGGGACAAGGCACGUCAGACACCCGUCCGCUGGGAGCCAGCACGGGAGGAGACGUGCAGCUGGAGCUGGAAACCCUGCAACAACACCUGCAAGCGCUGCUCCUCGUUUCUGAAGCUCCUGGGUGUCUCAGGACCCUCCCCUUGCAGCAAGAAGCCCCAGUCCUUCGCCAUUCCCAGACGGGGCGGGUGCGUUGCACAACGCAGCCCAGCCAGGGUGGCCAGCAGAGCCCACGUGCUGCCCUCUGUGCUUGCCGAGGAACCUGAAGCAACACCUCCUGGUGGAAUAGGUUUUUAAAGGCCCCAGGGGGACUGCAGCAGCUGGGACCCCCCCACACACACCAAAACAAAGCGCGAGUUCACGAGUUCCCCAGUCUGUAUUUCUUGUUUCACCACGCCUUCGCUUCCCCCACAGUGCCUCCAGGGUGAAACUACUCAGCUGGCUGAAUGGGUUCGGC